UGACUGUUGAAUUGUCCCAACGGACAGACGGCUGCAGCAAGCAGGAGCAGGAGGCCAAGGCUGCAACCCCUGGAGGCAGGGCCCUGCCUUUGAACAUCCGGUUCAAUUCCAGGGGCUUGGUGUCGCACUAGGAUCUCAUCGCGAACGGGUAGGGUCAGGAAGCAGCCCGGGUUUGCGCUUCACCGGAGGGGAGGCGCGACAGUCCCGAGCCCCAGGUGCGCGUCACUCCCCGCUGCCCCCCUGCAGCCGAGCCUGGUGGGGCGGGACGCGGGCACCUGCGGACGCUGGCUGCUCCGUAGGCUCCGCUCCGCUCCGCGUCCGCUGCAGCCCGGCGCGAGCGCUGCCCACCGGCUCCCGCCUCCCCACCUCCACGCCCCGGAGUCGCGCGGACCCCGCGCACUUACGGGGCUCCGCUCCGCCGCCCGCGCGCUUCCCGCGGGGUCCAUGGCGCUUCCGGACCUGCGAGUCCGGCCGCAGCGCCGCCCAGAAAAUGGACGCCGGCGGCUGGGCCCGGACGCCCCGGUCUGCCCCUGGUGCAGUGCAGGCCGGACGGUCGCUCGACCUCGGGCGCCGACGCGCAGGGCUUCCGGGACGCUGCAGGCCGCGAGGCUCCCGCACCCCCCGGCGCCACUGCGGCAGAGCCAGGCUCGCACAGAUGCUGCGCAGCCACCGAGCAGGCCCCGGGCACCCUAUGCAGUUUUAACCCGCACCAAAUUCUGAGAACAGGGUGUCACCUGUGCUUUCUCAUGGCUGUCAGGGGACGCCUGGAUUAUUUCCCACCAUGGUAUAAGAACUGUUUCAUGCAAUGAAAAAAAUAAAAGCCACCGACUGCCCGCUGACAUCCUUCCCACACAGAUUCGCAGUGUGGCACCUACUGCCCCACGCACACCUAAGUGCAGGUGUUUGUUUUGAACCAUCC
rnacentral:lncRNA from 1 species